rnacentral:rRNA from 1 species
CUACGGGGGGCUGCAGUGGGGAAUAUUGGACAAUGGGGGAAACCCUGAUCCAGCAAUGCCGCGUGAGUGAAGAAGGCCUUCGGGUUGUAAAGCUCUUUUACCUGUGACGAUAAUGACGGUAACAGGGGAAUAAGCACCGGCUAACUUCGUGCCAGCAGCCGCGGUAAUAUGAAGGGUGCUAGCGUUGUUCGGAAUUACUGGGCGUAAAGGGCGCGUAGGCGGUCUUUUAAGUCAGAUGUGAAAGCCCUGGGCUCAACCUGGGAACUGCAUUUGAAACUGGGAGACUAGAGAUCGAAAGAGGAAAGUGGAAUGACGAGUGUAGAGGUGAAAUUCGUAGAUAUUCGUUGGAACACCAGUGGCGAAGGCGACUUUCUGGUUCGAUACUGACGCUAAGGCGCGAAAGCGUGGGGAGCAAACAGGAUUAGAUACCCCGGUAGUC